GGAAACAUGCUGGUGAAGCAGUGCCCUGAAGGAUCAAACCCUCCUUUCAACAAGUGAUGAGUUGUGGGUUCAACCCUGCUGGGUUCAGGGGUCUGUUUCACCAACAUGAAGAA